rnacentral:piRNA from 1 species
UGAAUAUCUCAUUUGCAUAAGG